rnacentral:rRNA from 1 species
GAUGAACGCUGGCGGCGUGCCUAAUACAUGCAAGUCGAGCGAACAGACGAGGAGCUUUCUCCUCUGACUUUAGCGGCGGACGGGUGAGUAAUACGUGGAUAACCUACCUAUAAGACUGGGAUAACUUCGGGAUACCGGAGUUAAUACCGGAUAAUAUAUUGAACCGCAUGGUUCAAUAGUCAAAGACGGUUUUGCUGUCACUUAUAGAUGGAUCCGCGCCGCAUUAGCUAGUUGGUAAGGUAACGGCUUACCAAGGCAACGAUGCGUAGCCGACCUGAGAGGGUGAUCGGCCACACUGGAACUGAGACACGGUCCAGACUCCUACGGGAGGCAGCAGUAGGGAAGCUUCCGCAAUGGGCGAAAGCCUGACGAAGCAACGCCGCGUGAGUGAUGAAGGUCUUCGGAUCGUAAAACUCUUUUAUUAGGGAAGAACAAAUGUGUAAGUAACUAUGCACGUCUUGACGGUACCUAAACAGAAAGCCACGGCUAACUACGUG